GAUGAACGCUGGCGGCGUGCCUAAUACAUGCAAGUAGAACGCUGAAGCUUGGUGCUUGCACCGAGCGGAUGAGUUGCGAACGGGUGAGUAACGCGUAGGUAACCUGCCUCUUAGCGGGGGAUAACUAUUGGAAACGAUAGCUAAUACCGCAUAAAAGUCGAUAUCGCAUGAUAUUGAUUUGAAAGGUGCAAAUGCAUCACUAAGAGAUGGACCUGCGUUGUAUUAGCUAGUUGGUGAGGUAACGGCUCACCAAGGCGACGAUACAUAGCCGACCUGAGAGGGUGAUCGGCCACACUGGGACUGAGGCACGGCCCAGACUCCUACGGGAGGCAGCAGUAGGGAAUCUUCGGCAAUGGGGGCAACCCUGACCGAGCAACGCCGCGUGAGUGAAGAAGGGUUUCGGAUCGUAAAGCUCUGUUGUAAGAGAAGAACGAGUGUGAGAGUGGAAAGUUCACACUGUGACGGUAACUUACCAGAAAGGGACGGCUAACUACGUG
rnacentral:rRNA from 1 species